rnacentral:misc_RNA from 1 species
UGUUUGGUUUGUUACCGGUGGUUGGCUCUCUGCUUUUGCAACAACUUCCACCUGGCAUUCCUCUUCAUUUAUGCGUCAAGGUUGCAUUUCCUUGAGCGCUUAUGGUUUCCUGUGUUGCCUACCUACGUGACGGUAUUGUUUGAUUACAUCGAAGUUGUGUUUCAUCAUGUGUCAUUUGUAUGGCGUAGGAUGAACCUCAAAGCAGCUUCUAUGAUCCACCUUGUCGACGCACAUGGAUUGACGUUGUGGCUCAUUGAGUUUUGCUUGGUUUUCUGGAUACAGAACAUGAUAUGGGUGUGGGUCUUACGAGAUCCUUGUUUUGCCCUUGUUGAACGUUGUUGUUACUCCGAGAUGACUACUUAUCCCGAAUUGGCUCGUACCACCGGGGUAGGUUGUGUUGUUGAAGAGCAAUAAUGGCGUUCUUGCUUCUCUAAAACAGACAGCCUCGCCUUGAUUGGCUAGUACCAGCGGGUAGGCUAUGUCGAAGAGGGAUGCUACCUGGUUGAUCCUGCCAGUAGUCAUAUGCUUG